UACGUAGGGGGCUAGCGUUGUCCGGAAUCAUUGGGCGUAAAGCGCGCGUAGGCGGCCCGGUAAGUCCGCUGUGAAAGUCCAGGGCUCAACCCUGGAAAGCCGGUGGAUACUGCCGGGCUAGAGUCCGGGAGAGGCGAGUGGAAUUCCUGGUGUAGCGGCGGAAUGCGCAGAUAUCAGGAGGAACACCUAAGGCGAAGGCAGCUCGCUGGAACGGUACUGACGCUGAGGCGCGAAAGCGUGGGGAGCAAACAGG
rnacentral:rRNA from 1 species